rnacentral:rRNA from 1 species
AAAUUGAAGAGUUUGAUCAUGGCUCAGAUUGAACGCUGGCGGCAGGCCUAACACAUGCAAGUCGAACGGUAACAGGAAGCAGCUUGCUGCUUCGCUGACGAGUGGCGGACGGGUGAGUAAUGUCUGGGAAACUGCCUGAUGGAGGGGGAUAACUACUGGAAACGGUAGCUAAUACCGCAUAACGUCGCAAGACCAAAGAGGGGGACCUUCGGGCCUCUUGCCAUCGGAUGUGCCCAGAUGGGAUUAGCUUGUUGGUGGGGUAACGGCUCACCAAGGCGACGAUCCCUAGCUGGUCUGAGAGGAUGACCAGCCACACUGGAACUGAGACACGGUC